rfam:Clostridium roseum strain DSM 7320 CROST_contig000023, whole genome shotgun sequence.
UCCUCCGUGAGGAGGAAUCUGAAGGAAGCUAUAGGCAAAAUCUUGGUCUGAGGAAUACAAAUCACAUAUAAGGCUUAUUUAGAAAGGACGAGUUUGCAAAACAAAACAAAGUCCAACACUAUCCGAAUUUCUAGAGAGUAAAUGUGACAGAUAUAUGAGAGGAAGGUUGUCGUU